UACAGAGGUCUCGAGCGUUGUUCGGAUUCAUUGGGCGUAAAGGGUGCGUAGGCGGCGGGGCAAGUCUGAUGUGAAAUCCCGGGGCUCAACCCCGGAACUGCAUUGGAUACUGCGGGGCUAGAGUGCAGAAGGGGCAACUGGAAUUCUCGGUGUAGCGGUGAAAUGCGUAGAUAUCGAGAGGAACACCUGCGGCGAAGGCGGGUUGCUGGGCUGACACUGACGCUGACAGCGCGAAAGCUAGGGGAGCGAACGGG
rnacentral:rRNA from 1 species